UACAGAGGGUGCGAGCGUUGUCCGGAAUCACUGGGCGUAAAGGGCGUGUAGGUGGCUCGUUAAGCGUGUGGUGAAAGCCUGGGGCUCAACCCCCAGGUCUGCCGUGCGAACUGGCGAGCUUGAGUACAGUAGAGGCAGGUGGAAUUUCGGGUGUAGCGGUGGAAUGCGUAGAUAUCCGAAAAGAACACCGGUGGCGAAGGCGGCGACCUGGUCCGUGACUGACGCUGAGGCGCGAAAGUGUGGGGAGCGAACAGG
rnacentral:rRNA from 1 species